UGCUGCAUGGCUGUCGUCAGCUCGUGUCGUGAGAUGUUCGGUUAAGUCCGCUAACGAGCGCAACCCUCGCUGUGUGUUAUAUGUGUCACACGGGACUGCCGGUCUUAAGCCGGAGGAAGGUGGGGAUGAUGUCAAGUCAGCAUGGCCUUUAUAUCCUGGGCUACACACACGCUACAAUGGCCAACACAAUAGGUUGCUAAGCCGCGAGGUGGCGCCAAUCCAUAAAGUUGGUCUCAGUUCAGAUUGUAGGCUGCAACCCGCCUGCAUGAAGAUGGAGUUGCUAGUAACCGCAGGUCAGCUAUACUGCGGUGAAUACGUUCCCGGGGCUU
rnacentral:rRNA from 1 species